GGCAAAGCCUGCAGAUGCACCUCCUGCAAGAAGAGCUGCUGCUCCUGCUGCCCCGCGGGCUGUGCCAGGUGUGCCCAGGGCUGCAUCUGCAAAGGGGCCUCGGACAAGUGCAGCUGCUGUGCCUGAAGUCUGGGGAGACCCUGCCCCAGAUGUAAAUAGAGCAACUUGGACAAACUUGCAUUUUGCUAUUUUUCACACGCGCUGACUUCAUGCUACAUCCCUUUUUCUGUGAAAUAUGUGAGUUGUAAUAAAAGUUGUCGAUUUCA